AACGAACGCUGGCGGCAUGCCUAACACAUGCAAGUCGAACGAAGCCUUCGGGCUUAGUGGCGCACGGGUGCGUAACGCGUGGGAACCUGCCUUUAGGUUCGGAAUAACUCAGAGAAAUUUGAGCUAAUACCGGAUAAUGUCUUCGGACCAAAGAUUUAUCGCCUUUAGAUGGGCCCGCGUAGGAUUAGCUAGUUGGUGGGGUAAAGGCCUACCAAGGCGACGAUCCUUAGCUGGUCUGAGAGGAUGAUCAGCCACACUGGGACUGAGACACGGCCCAGACUCCUACGGGAGGCAGCAGUGUGGAAUAUUGGACAAUGGGCGAAAGCCUUAUCCAGCAAUACCGCGUGAGUGAUGAAGGCCUUAGGGUUGUAAAGCUCUUUACCAGGGAUGAUAAUGACAGUACCUGGAGAAUAAGCUCCGGCUAACUCCGUGCCAGCAGCCGCUGUAAAAC
rnacentral:rRNA from 1 species